rnacentral:rRNA from 1 species
UACGGCUCAGUAACACGUAGUCAACCUGCCCUGGAGACAUGGACAACCCCGGGAAACUGGGAUUGAUCCGUGAUAGGUCAUCUCAUCUGGAAGGAGAGAUGGCUUAAAGGGGUGCGAGAGCUUCUUUCUCGUAUCCGCUCCAGGAUGGGACUGCGGCCGAUCAGGCUGUUGGUGGGGUAAUGGCCCACCAAACCUGUAACCGGUACGGGCCUUGAGAGAGGGGGCCCGGAGAUGGACACUGAGAGAAGGGUCCAGGUCCUACGGGGCGCAGCAGGCGCGAAACCUUCACAAUGCGCGAAAGCGUGAUGAGGUUAAUCCGAGUGGUCCCCGCUGAGGGGAUCUUUUGUCGGCUGUAAAAAGGCCGGUGAAUAAGGGGAGGGCAAGUCUGGUGUCAGCCGCCGCGGUAAUACCAGCUCCUCGAGUGGUCGGGGCGAUUAUUGGGCCUAAAGCAUCCGUAGCCUGUUCUGUAGGUCCUCUGUUAAAUCCAACGGCUUAACCGUUGGCCUGCAGAGGAUACCGCAGGACUAGGAGGCGGGAGAGGUGGACGGUACUCCACGUGUAGGGGUAAAAUCCUUUGAUCCGUGGAAGACCACCAGUGGCGAAGGCGGUCCACCAGAACGCGCUCGACGGUGAGGGAUGAAAGCUGGGGGAGCGAACCGGAUUAGAUACCCGGGUAGUCCCAGCCGUAAACGAUGCGAGCUAGAUGAUCCGGUCGCAAAUCGCGAUCGGAGUGUCGCAGGGAAGCCGUUAAGCUCGCCGCCUGGGGAGUACGGUCGCAAGACUGAAACUUAAAGGAAUUGGCGGGGGAGCACCACAAGGGGUGAAGCCUGCGGUUCAAUUGGAGUCAACGCCGGG